UACAGAGGGUGCGAGCGUUAAUCGGAAUUACUGGGCGUAAAGCGCGCGUAGGCGGCUUUGCAAGUCGGGUGUGAAAUCCCCAGGCUUAACCUGGGAACUGCAUUCGAGACUGCAUUGCUAGAGUAUGGGAGAGGGAAGUGGAAUUCCGGUGUAGCGGUGAAAUGCGUAGAUAUCGAGAGGAACACCAGUGGCGAAGGCGAGUCUCUGGACAUUUCCUGACGCUGAGGCACGAAAGCCAGGGGAGCAAACGGG
rnacentral:rRNA from 1 species